rnacentral:rRNA from 1 species
AGUGAACGCUGGCGGUAGGCCUAACACAUGCAAGUCGAACGGCAGCACAGGAGAGCUUGCUCCCUGGGUGGCGAGUGGCGGACGGGUGAGGAAUACAUCGGAAUCUACCUUUUCGUGGGGGAUAACGUAGGGAAACUUACGCUAAUACCGCAUACGACCUACGGGUGAAAGUGGGGGACCGCAAGGCCUCACGCGAUGAGAUGAGCCGAUGUCGGAUUAGCUAGUUGGCGGGGUAAUGGCCCACCAAGGCGACGAUCGGUAGCUGGUCUGAGAGGAUGAUCAGCCACACUGGAACUGAGACACGGUCCAGACUCCUACGGGAGGCAGCAGUGGGGAAUAUUGGACAAUGGGCGCAAGCCUGAUCCAGCCAUACCGCGUGGGUGAAGAAGGCCUUCGGGUUGUAAAGCCCUUUUGUUGGGAAAGAAAUCCUGUCGAUUAAUACUCGGUGGGGAUGACGGUACCCAAAGAAUAAGCACCGGCUAACUUCGUGCCAGCCGCCGCAGUAAGAC